GGAAAGAACGCUACUUUUACGCCGUUCCAUUUGGCUACGGGACGGUCGCUACUUUCUUUUAUUAUGUUUUUUUUUUUUUUUCGAGAUUUAUUUCUCUCCCUAAGGGACGUCUUCGGCCAACAUUUCUAUCCCGUGACUAUUUUCACCAAUAAAAACCUGACAAAAUGAUCUUGCAAAUCAAAUGCAGCCACUUGAGUCAAAUGACAAGUGUUGUCAUGUGGCUCCACAUUGUCGUGCACUUUUUUAAUGGCUCCGGUUCCGCGCCGAUGUUGUGUCCGUGGCCAUGCUAUGUUCACAGGAGCAGAACACGCAGAUUUAAGCGACUAUCUGGGGUAGUCAAGAAAAUGGAAGAAACCGCUGAUUCUGAAACUAAGUAGGAUGUGGCCUGCUCACGCGGAGAGGGACUUGAGCUUCACGGUCGAGCCCAUGGAGGCCCCAACCGACGCUGACGCACCCUGCGCUAGGGGCCCCCCUGUGACCACGACCGGAAUGGCCGGGGAACCAGCAGCUGCCAGGACAGCGGUUAAGCUGCCGUAGUUCUCCGGGGCAAUGCAUCUGGAGCCGUACCUGGCACAGUUCCGGCUCGCUGAGGGGCACAACGGCUGGGGUGCCGGGAAGGCGGUCGUCCACCUCGCCCUAGCGCUGGAGUGGACAGCGGUGCAGGCGCUCCUGGACCCUGCCCCAGCGGACCAACGGGACCUCGGGGCCCUGACCCGGGCCGUCGGCAGCCACAGCCGCGAGCUGCUAACCAGACGCCGCCGCCAGGAGGGGGAACGGUUUGGGGCCUACGCAGCGGACUUGCAGCUGUACGCCCAGCGGGGUUAAUCAGGCUUCCCUGCUGCGGCUUGGGAUGAGCUAGCCCUGCAUGCCUUCCUUCAGGGACUGGCCCCGCCGUGGCUGGGGCAGCACGUUCGACUCUUCAUGCCCCCGACCCCCCACGUGGAGAGCCCUCGAUGUGGCUCUCCACGUGGCCGAACAGGCGGAGCGGGAGCUCUCCGACCAACCCAGCCUGCAGGAGGAUGAUGGCCAGGACCAGUCUGGUCCGGCCAAGCACUGCUGCCGUUGUUGUGGUGCCCGGAUGGACGCGGCUGGGGCUGUCCUCUCCAGUGGCACAACUACAGUGGCUUCCCAGUCCGGGCACGACGAGGAAAGGGUCCGGAAACCCAGGC
ensembl:lncRNA